rnacentral:tRNA from 10 species
AGGGGCGUCGCCAAGAGGUCCAAGGCACCGGGUUUUGAUCCCGGCAUCCGCAGGUUCGAAUCCUGCCGCCCCUGCCA